CUUUACUAAAAAUGUUAACUCAAACUGAACCGUUUAACAUGCCUAAUCCAUAGCAGCUGUAAUGGUCAGUGAAACUAUUUCUGUGAGCUACUUCUAUUGGCUUUCUGAACUUCCUUUAGUAUUGAUUCAAUUUUAGUUAACCACUCAAGCUUUAACCAGAAUAAGCUGGUGCCAGAUUAUGCAUCAAUGACAUAUGUAUUCUGUAUUCAUUGGAAACCUCACACGAUUGCAGAUUUCGCUUGCCUAUACAACCACUUUGUAACUAAUUAGACUAGACGUGGCACUAAAGAGAAACCACAAACACAGCAGUAUGCCCUGAUAGAUAUUAAUACAGUCCAGUCUCUUAACAAAGUGAACAAUUGCUCAAAUAAUGAUUUCCUGCUGUGGACUUUAUGCUUUGUUUGUUAAAUCCUAUUUUCCUUCCUACUUUCCUGUUGACUAUAGCAGAAUUGAAUUUUAUUCAACCCAACUCACCCUGGGUCAGCAAAACCCUUCACCUUUGUGGAAGAAAAGUUAACUCCUUAAAGGCUGCCUGUUUUUGAACAUACCUUAUCGGUACACCAAGGUUCUAUGCACAACCAAAGGGAAAGGGUUAAUAGCACAGUUUAUGGAAUGUGGGAGAAAUGAGGCUGUGAGGUACAUAUUUGCUAAUGUGUUUAAAGCAAAGCCAGAGUUCACUGGACCAUGGUUUGGUUUGUUUUCAUUUUCGAACUAUUCAUUCUUUUCUUUCCAUAGUAUUUGCUCGUUGUCUCAAUGAUUUGGCAAAAAAUUCUGCUAAAUAUAUUUAAUAUAAUGUUAGCAGUGACUACUAGCAUUAACAUCCCUACAAAAGAUGAAGGUUUAGUGGAAAUUAGUCCUGUGGAAUCAUGUCAUUUAAGAGAAUGACAGCAUCUUCUCUUCACAUUCAUUCAGCUGGUAUCAUGGGCGUGCUGGAAGAAAGGUUUGUCUGAGGAUGCAGCAGAGGAAGCAGAAAAGCCAUGAAAUAUGAAAACGACCUUCAGGAGGAAUUUCUAUCUGAUAUCAAAUGUAUUUGUAGUGCAACAGUACCGAUCCUUUUUAGUCUGUAUCGAUUACAGCCUUCAGAAGAAGAAGACUGUGAUAAUUUAUACAAAAAAAAAGUUCAAUUCUAAACAUUUCAGUUGGAUCUUCUUGAGAACUACUAGCAUCUUUUCUGUGAGCAAAGCUAAUGCACUUACUCAACUGUGGUAGGGAUGUUGUGUUAAGUUUUGUGAUACAUCAGCCCUUCCUAAGGAUUCUGUUGAUUGAUCAAAGACUGUUUACAUAUAGUUAAAAGCAACCUUUGUUUCAGGAUAUGUUUUAUCUGUUUUUUAAGAUGUUCUGAACUAUACCUCCCUUUGAGAUUAUAUUAACAUUUGCUAUAUCACAGCUUUGACAAAAGAUAACUAUCUCUUUUCCUCCUGUACUAACAUUCACCAUUCCAGACAGCCGAAUUCACCACAAGAAGAAAAACUGGUAAUCCAUCAACUCUUUUUUGGCCCCAACUCCCCCUCAUUGCUUAUACAAACUCCUGCUCUCAGGAGAUACAGAGUAAAAUAUGGUUACUGGACAUAAAGGGCAAACCCUUUUGCCAUUAACAAUGUCACUACUAUGUGAAUAAAGUUUACACUUUAAGUACCCUGAGCACAGCAACACAUGGAUCUUUCUGUGGUUACCUGUUAUUCCUGCUUUUCUUGUGGUUCAGCCUGUUCUAGUUAUGGGUUAGAUUUUCAAAACUUACUAGCAGUUUUUGAGUGCCUUAAUUUUAAUGAAUCCAGUUGGAGAGGGCUUAGAGGUUUCAGUUUUUAUGAAGCGCAGAGCACUCACAUUCUGAAAAUCAGGUCCACGUGAGGUGCCUGAAAUGCAACACUCAACAAUGGAGACAAGCCAAACACCUUUGUAAACCUUGGCCUAGGGUUUGGAAGUGUCACUCAUGUCUGACUUCCUGAGAGUGAGCUGAGCGUGGUAUCAAAAGAAGAUAUUUGGAACUGAAAGCAAGUGAGACCUGAGUCAAGAGUACAGACAGACAUCUGAACAAGCUCUCUCUUGGCUAUUGCUGGUUCAUAAAAAAUUAGAAGCUGUGUUUUUUUUAGAUUACAAAUACAGAAAGCAUUGCAGCUCACAACUUAGUUUCUGCGAUGGCAUGAGCCAUGUCCACUUCCCACUCUCCUGCUGAUUUCAUGAACUCUGGUUCUAACCAUAGAAAAGGUCUCUCCAACUCACUUUUCUACUGUUUUGAGAAGGGUUGUGAUAGUUGCUGUGGUCUGUACAAGACUUGGAUCUAUGGAUUAAAAGGAGUCAUUUUACAGGAUCUGUUAAGCCUACAACUUUGAUCACCUUCAUAUUUACUUUCAAUCUUUUGCGUCCACCCCCAAAACAAAACCUGUUUGCAACAAUUAUGGAUCUGCUGCUUAAUGCUUUGGUCCUACUCUGGCUCAGUACCAUGAUAAAACCACAUUUCAUUGAGCCCUUUUCAACAUGUUAACUAUUACAUGGAACAAAGUGGCCAGGACGCUGCAUAAGGUUUCUGAUACCUCUAGAAUUGAAGUGAUCAGGGCCUCACAAUAAAAAAGACUCUUUACCCCGGGAGACCUCAGAUAUCUGAAGUUGUGGUGCCAGAAUUCUUGCCUCUUUCCCAGGAAGGAAAAAAUCCUACACCCCACUUGUUAUGCAGGGAUUCUGCUGGUUGAAUUUCCUUCACUCUGAUCCAUCCCCCAUGGUUUUUGUCAAGAGGGCAGUAUCCAACCCCUUGUAAAGGUAUCCUGCUGCGCUGUGAAAAUUACCCAAUAAAAUAAUCUCCUGUAGUUUCUGUACACACCUCAAUGACCAAAGAAAAUCCAUGGAGAACUAAUCAAUUACUGUAGCUAUUAGGCUUAAACUUUAACUAUAGAUCUCAAAUCUUCUUUUGUGAGUGUCUGCUAGGUAAUCUAGAAAAAUCCUCUACAGUCUACUAUAUUUUGCCCAUGCCAUGCAAGUGCCAUUAUGCUGUAGAAUCCUGGACCAAAGAAUCCUGAGCUAUAUGUGUAAGACAUUAGCUGGAAAAUACACUACUGUGAGAAAUACAUUUCUCUGUCAGAAUUAUAAUUCUUGAAUGUGAUCCCAAUGCUCAGAGCUGCCUCGAUUCAUCAGGAAUUUAGGGUAAACGAGUGGGCACUCAGGUCAAUUAUUUCAUACACUCUUCUAUCAUUUUAACACGUAAGGCUCAGACGCACUCUUAUUUGUCUUUUCUGCUCAAUGCUUUGUAAAAUGAGGUCUCAUGAUAAUACUGUUACAGAAAGGGGAAAACCUGCUGGUAAUAAAGGGAAAAAAAAAAAAGGUAGAACUGACUACAGUCAUAAUGUAUGACCUCUUCGUUUAUUGUGCUAAAUCAUGGAUUGUGAUGGUAUCAUCAAGAUUUAAGAGAGAAAACAAGUUGUUUUGAGUGAAAAUCACUUUGUUUCUCCCAAUGCCAAAUAGCCCAGCUAAUUCAGAGCAAGGAAGUACUUGAAAUGUAGUCAUUUACACACCAGUCUAAGAGGAAAUAUUGUAAAGUAACUCUUAGCAGUUUUCAAAUGGAGUUUGAAUUUUUAAGAAAGUUCUUUAUGGUUGGAAAAAAAAAAAUCAGUCUGCUUACUGGGAGUUUUGAAGCUAGAGAGUUGGCCAACCAAAAAAUGUAAGGAAACAUUGGAAGGUUAGGGGGUCCAAAUGUUCGGUUUGCAUUGAUGGUGUUUCUGAGGCCAAAAAAAAAACACAAACAUUGCUGACCAACCAAAUAAUUCUGAACAGGAUUUUAGAGUAAUGCCUAAUCAACUGUUUGGUUAAUUAUAAGAUUACAGUGUUUUCAGGUAAAGCAGAGUCUGUAAUAUAAAUGUCAUAUCUAGAAACCUAGUGUUUUAUUCUACAAAAAGAUUGCUCAUAUAAGAAAUGUUAGUUUCUGAGCUUAAAUAUGCAUCCUGUUUGAAUAUUUAGCUAUUUAAGGAGAAAUUUAUAUUUUUAGUUGGCUCAAAGAUAAAAAUUAAUUUUAAUUGAUCAUUUUAUUAAUGUCAAUUUUGGAUACUUGUAUCUAAAGUGAAUUUUGUAAUAUUUUGAAAACCAAACAGAGGGUCUUGGCAACUUUUUUAUUAUAUUUGUGCUAUAGUGCUUUGAAAUGUAUUUUCUGAAGUAAGUCCUAACCUAAAAUAUAUGCAUUUUAUUUUUGUUAAACAGGUAAAUAUUUCGCAGUUGUUGUUGUCUGAAUGUUAUUGUAUAAGAGAAUUUUCUUUCAUUUUAUUUUCAUGGUGUUGAAGUUUAGAAAAACAGAUUAAAACAAUUACUGCUCUGAUGACCAAAAUCUGGAGGUUUGGGCUCUGAGGGUUUUUUGGGCUUUGAACACAAUGCUGAGUUCAGUCCAGGACUGUGUUUUCCAGUCCCAGAUUGAUUCAUCUGUCCAACUAUUAUUAAACUAUGGCACAGAAAAACAUUAUUCCUUUAUUUGCAAGAGGUUGAAUUUUGUUUUCCUGGUAUCUUGUCUUUUCUUCAGUGUUUACUGUGUGGAGAGUGUUAAGAGAUAGGUUUCAAUGUUGUUGUAUUGUUUAUAAAGAAUAGUUCACUACCAUAAAAAGAAAUUUGCUGAGCAGAGAUUGUGUUUGUAUGUCAAGUCCUUUCAGCAUAAAAAAUACAGUUUAUGCACCAUACUUAACAAUCAUCUUUCCUUCUUAUCACAGGAUCUUGUUUAUAAAUACUUCAAAAAAAUUGUUGUAAAGGUACUGCAAAAUAUAUGGCAUACUCCUGAAAGCAAACUUCUUUCUUGCUUAUUUGUUUUUUAAAUUAAGCUCGAGUUUUCCAUGGCUUUGUUUGUAGUCACCCUUUGCUAUUAUGCUACUUUGUUCAUUCACUGCCUCAUUGCACAGGGAUUCCUCCAGUAUUUAUGUGGUAUCUUCAUAUGCUGUUUGCAGCUGACUUAGUUCUUCCUCCGUAACUCAAUGUAUGUUUAACUUUGCAUAGUUUCUUGUUUGUAUAAGAGCCAUGAUCCUCUAGAGGUGAAUGAAUGCCCUCAGGUCACGAUGAAGCAAGUGGGAGGCCAAGCCACGUAGCAUUCUGCAAAUUAGCAAAAAUGACCCCAAUUAGAAGUGCUGUUGAAUGCAUUGCUUCUAUGGGAAUUUAUUCUAGUACUCCAGUAGACCAAAUAUAACACAAGAAUGAUAGUCAUAUAAAGACUAGAAAACACUGCUUUAUUUAGAGUCUGAAGCUCCUCUCUACUCACCCAUCUCCUGUACUGUAAAUUCUUACAAUUGUCAGUGGUAUCAAGUAUUCUGUCUUCCUCCUUCUCCUUUGUAUGAUGAUUAGCAGUUUUCUGUACAAAAGUACUAGUUUGGGGGGAAUGUGCUCUGUACAAGAGACCAGCUGAUCACAUCAGAGACACCUAGCAGUUUUAUUAGCACUGAAUGUAUAGCAAAUGGUUUAAUUAAUUGUAGGAAGGAGGCCUAACCUAGUUACUUGUAUCUGACAAUGUGUCCUGUUUGCCAUAAGUUUACAUCUGUUAUAGCAAGGAGUACAAAGAAAAUGCAACAUCCAAGCACAUUUAAACAAAUAUAUUUGUUAUUUUAAAACACUGGGGUAUUUUCCAAGAGUUUCAUAUUGUCAAAAGCAGGAAAGAGAGUAAAUCACCAUUAUAUUUUCUUAAGUACUUACUGUAGGUUGAUAUUUUCUUCACACCCACCGUUGUGUGCUUAGAUUUACUCUGUGUGCAUGAGGCGUGCAUGCUUUAUUGAAAAUUUUAAUAUUCAUCCUCAUUCUUAAAAUGGAAGGAUUGAGCAAAACUUUGUUUUUUAAUAGCGGAAAGAAAUCACAGAAGUAACCAGCAGCCCUGGAAUAGAUCCACGCCCUCAGGCUACAGGAUGUAAAUUGAUGUUAGCUCUAGUGGGAGUAUUUUCCACCUGAUCUAGCAUAAGCAUAUUGUAUUAUUCACUUGUUUGCUACUUUAAUACCACUUUAGCAGUUUCAUCAUAAAAAAAAUAUUCCUUUUGGAAAUUAUUUUUGGCAAAAGCAAUUAAGACUCCUGAGGAAAAUGAUAACAGUUUUUGAUAAGAUAUUUUGAUUCAUCUUUAUGAGCAGAAUAGAAACUUGGAGUGCUUCCUAAGUAGGAACAAUCAUUGCAGCUCACAGCCCACCCUCCACUGCAGCUCCAGCUGGGUGCAGACUGACAGCACAUUCAGCUGCAGAAACAAGAUAACAGCUCUGCUCUGAUUAUGUGAGCUGUUGCCUGAUCAGUAAUCUUGGAGUUCAGUCAUCAUGAGUCAUUACUGUAACCUGAUUAGGUGCCCAAAUCUACCUUAAUUGAAUUUAACUGAGUGUUUUGCCACAGACUGUGAUAGGAGAACAUCCAUACUCCUCUACUGGAGGCCAAAUGCCAUAAUAAGAUGACAUAUAAGCACCAUUUACUCCUAGCUAGAUGAUGUAAUACGUUAUGUGGGUUGCUCCAAGAGGUAUUAUUCCCCAAAUCUGUAUCUGCGAGAGUCAGCUAGUCAGUAUUAAUUAAACAGCUACUACAUUCCACUCCAGAAGUGGUUGCUUCUCUGUAGAGAGUGAUGCUACGUGUUAAAUAGGCCCUUUCAAAAUAAAUAAAUUCUCAAAGCACUUUAUACAGGUUGCUUCAGCCACUUCUGAGAUGAAGUCACUCUCAAGAUGAUGUAUAACAGCUUUCAACAGCACAAGCAGCGCUAUUAGUUUAGGAAACCAGGCAAUGAGCAGCAUGCUCUCGUUCUGCUUUCCAAUCAAGAGAGCAUGGGAGGGAUACAUUUGCAGGACAUGUUCUGCUGGGAAGAAUGCAUUUGAGUUGGCACCUUAUCAACUGAAAACUUGGCCCUCUAUCUGUUAAAAAGUUGCCGCAGUUUUUCUAAACUGAUGUUAUUGUUAAUAUUACCAUUUCCUCAAUUUAAUGUACUGUUAAAAAAUUGGCACCUCCAUUCUCCUCUCAUUAUACUGAGACAUUUUAUCAUUGUUGAUGAAUGUAACAUAGGUGCCAUUCUUAAAUCCUUUAGGAAAGAACACUGAGUUGUUUGAUCCAAGGACAGUUGGACCAGUUCUGCUAAAUCUCAUGAGACAGUAUCCUGAAGUCUACUGUGUGUUGGGGAGAUAACUAAAAUUACUAAUUAUGUUGAUUUUAUUAUUUUAUUCAUUUUAAAGGAUGGACCAGUUCUGUAGGAUCUUGGAAGUGUUAAAAGAAUAUAUGAAGAAGUUAGUGUAUCAGAGUGGAUAUUCCAGUUCAUUAUGAAGCAAGCAUUCAAUAAUUAAUAGGUACUUCAAGUGCCCACAAUAUAUUAUAAUCAUAGUUGGAUUCAAUUACAGGAGACAUAAAGGGGAUUAUUGUACAUUUUCUUCUCUGGUGGUAUAAUGAAUUGGAGGCAGUUGAGAUCCAUAAAUAUUGGAGAACAGUCAAGUUGUAAUAUAUGUAUGUUUUACAGAAACUAGGAAGUGCCUUUUCCAGCUGUUUGAAUGCAGUGUCUUCCUUCUGCACAAGCAAUGACUGUAGUUAGGAACUGGUGGUAAUACAGCUUGGUUAACAAGGUGCAAUUGCUUCUGAUCCAGUAGAAACAAAAAGAGUUUGUCUUGGCAGCUUACAGCAUUUGGUAAGCAUUUCAUAGUGGCACAACACAUAUCUUUUAUCAUGAAACUGGACAGCUGCUCAGUGUACCUCAGGGUGCAAAUCCCAAGCGUAGCUGCAGGUAGGGAGGUACCUGAGGUCCAUGACUUGUAUUGGGAAUGUUUUGCCUAUUGCUUUGGGCAACUGUAUUCCAGCUGUGAGGAUUUGGCUCUUAUGGCAUGAAGAAAAAGUAAAGGAGGAGGGAAAAAGAACCAAGAAGCUUCAGGGUGCGCUUGGCUCCUUGAUAUCCAUCAGGAUUGUGUUCUAAAAGUCCCAUUCCCAUUGACACAGACAAAUGUAUCUUUCCUAGAUGAAGAUGAAUCCUGGCUCAUGGGGGUAAGAACAUCCCCCCCGGGAUUAAUGCAUUCGGGCAUUUGGUGGUCAAGCAGCAGUGACAUCAACCAGCUUGACAUCAGUAAGAGAAGACAGAAAACAAAGGUAUUUGUGUGGCCAUACAGCCAAAGAAGAAUACAGACACAAAGGGCUAACCUUUCAGAAUAGCUAAUGAUUUAUCAUUGCUGUGUAGGUGGCACCUAAAUAGUCCUACAUGGGUGUGAAUCAAGAGAUAGUUAUAGAAAAACAAGUCCAAGCAGAGGUGGAUUCUGCUUCCUUACUGCAGGCAAGCAGGACUAGAGAAGGCAAAGGCUGAUCUUUAGGUAAUUACUACAGGUGAAGUUAGCAAAAAACAAGAGUGAAGGAGGUUGUAGAUGUAUGGAUUAUUAUAGACUGUAGAUAGUAGACGGUAUAAUAAUAACUGAUUUUAGUUUUUUAUUUUUGUCUUUUUUUUUGUUAACAGUCAUUUCACAUUCAGCAUUCAUGAGCUCAUCUCAUGGGGAGAGGAGUUCUCGUCAUCCACAUUUUUGUAGAUAGCAGUCACUUUUGCAGUUGUGUAAUUCAUUUCUUUCCCGUAUUGCUUCUUUUUCUUAUUCUUUUUUUUUUUUACCAGUUCCCAUUGAUCAUAAAUUGAUGAUUUCUCCCAGCAGCCACUUUAUAAAUAUGUUCUAAAAUCCCGAAAGGAAAAAAGACAACUUGCAGUGAAGAGCGUUUUGGUUAAACCUUUGAAAUACAAUGCAGCUAUUCUUCUCUAGGGCGAAUAACAUUGCUUUCAGCAUCAGAAAAAUAAUGAAUGGAAAACCAAAUGUGCUCUAGAGAAGUUGAAGCUUUUUUUUAAAGGGCUACUGCCCAAGUAUGUCAUCCAAUGGAGGAAAAUUGGUAGCUGCAUUGUUUUUUUGUAAGACAGCUACCCAGACAGUGAUGUGAUACCUUUUAUUGGGCUAACCAAAGUUAAAAUUAGAACUGAGCAAAUAAACCCCAAUGAGUAACAGCAUUAGUACAUUUUAACCUUUCUAGCUUCUCACUUAGAUGAACUUUUUCAAACCUGGGCACUGACUUUUGGCUUCUAGUUUUAGAACAUGUUGAAAGAGGACCUGAUUGCUAAGCCGGCUGAGUUCUUGACAGUUUUGCUGCCUGAUCACACAGAAACAAGUAGGCAGAAAGUACUGUGUGGUCCUCCUUAUUUGGAAUUUUGAUUCUGGCCAGAAGAACAAUUUCUAAAAAUGCUUUUCCAUCUUUCUGCCAUUGUCGAUAUGCAGAAUACAAAUCUGAACCCUAAGUGUUUAGUUGAGUUGAACUUCCAUAGGUCUCAAACCACUGGUUAUGUCCAUCCCUCUGUGGCUAAGCUAGGAAGUGAAUUCUGGCAUUUGCUUCUCUGUAUAUUUAGGUUGCUAUAGUACAGCUGAGGACAUCUCUGAAAAACUGCACACACUGCAACUUUUUAUAUAGAAAGUUGUUACCAAAUCACUUUCAUAUUGCUUGAAACUCCUUCUUCUAUUUCUCUCUGGUCAUUGUCUUCACUAUUGAACAUUUUUAGGUACUUCCACUGUCAUGGAAUUUAAAGACCAAUUAUUCCUUCACUGUGUAACAUUGAUCCUGUCAGUAGCUACAUCUCCUUCAGAGCCAGCUGUGGGCUACCACAGGUGAAAUGAGUAGCCCAGCAGUGGUAAACAGAUCAAACUACCUGUAAAUAGUGAAGUUGUAUAACCUGUGCUGAUUCAGCAUCCAAUGGGUGUGGCAGAGCAGUUUCCAAAACGGUAAACUUGCUCACCAGAGUGGCCAGAGGACAUUUUUGUUAUGAAAAACAAAGUCAGAGGGUAUAAGUAAAAGAAGCACCCUUCACCUUCAUUUCUUAUAGCUACUUCAUAAUUACCUGAAGCUAGACGUUAGUCAUGGAGCUGCUGUGGCAAGAAGCUCAUGGGAACAGGGACAGCAGAAGCAGAGAAUGCUUCGCUUUACCUCCAAAGUGUAACUGUGCUGCAGCAUAGGUCUUCAGCAGCAGUCACAGCUUGCAGUCAGGAUGUGCCAGAAUCCCUUAAGACUCUUCUCCCGGCUCUGUGCCUCCGCCUGGCUCAUGUCAGAGGUAUCACUGGGCCCUUCUUUAUAUAAUUUUCCAACCUUUGUACACUGUAGCAUUAGGCAGUGCUUUGAAAAUACUCAUAAACCAGUAUAACAGUUUUCAGUCACAGAGGAUCACCUCUCCCUGCAGGCUCCCAUGUCUCUCUUCAUCUUUGCCAUGUGCCCACAGGGGUGUCUUUGUGUUGAUGUGCUGCACGUCGUCUCUGUUGGGUUUGGCUCAGUCCCUGUCCUUCCCAUGCAAAGGCCUGCAUUAUCAAAGCCAACUGAUAAUUUUGAUUGCCCUCAUUUCUUUAGUUACCCCAAUUAAGCUCGAGGCCUGAGGCUCAGUCUGGGAAUUCAAAAAGUGAGACUCCAGAUUUUGAGAAUUUGGUUGCGGGUGAAUAGAGCUAUUGUUAGGCUGCUCCCCUGCUCAUACCUUUGCAAUCCGACUGGAUUCUACUAGCUGUGAAGAAAUACUUACUUUGCACUGCACCUCUUCUAGAAGAACAUAAAGCAUAGCUUUCAGAGCCAUCUUUUCUUGCUCUCUUUUUCUAGUUUACAUCAUGUAAUUUCAAUCUGUCUUUUCCUAAUUCUUUUCUGCACUUGGGCCAGCAGCUGAAAGCCUGCAAAAAUAUGUGCAUCUUAUCCUCUAUGCAUUCUGUAGAAACAGCUUUACAAACCACAGAGGCUAUUUUAAAAUAAAUGCCCAUUUUUUUAAAUCCUUUCAUUACAAAGCUGAGGGUUGGUUGUUGUCCUCUGAAUGUUUCAUAGCAGCAAAAUUUCUGCAUUUUGGGAAUUGCUCUGUCUAUUCAUCCAGCUGGAAUGGAUCCAAAAGCAAAGCAUGGAACUGCUGCUAGCACUAACUCGUCACUGAAUGUUACUUUCUAUAAUAGAUGGCUUGUAUUGUCAUUUUGUGGAAUGCUCAAAAGUCAGUUAAUCAUCAUUUGGAGUGUGGGGAUGAUUUUUUUUAAAUAGAGAUGCACAGGAACAAUCUUUAAGAAGUCCAAUUACUUCCAUUAUUUCUGGCAUAACAGAACUGAAAGCAGCUCCAUCAUGAGGCCCCCUGUUCUGUGAUUUAUUAUCUAAUUUUUUUCUUUUGGAAUAUGAAAGUUUAUGAUGAUAAACAUGUGCUUCAAAACAAGUUUAUCUAAGUAAUUGUGAAAGCUAAGAAAUACUAUGCUAGAAGAUCUGGUAGGCGAAGGCUUGGGUCUCCAUCCUGCAGGUGCUCCAGGCUAUGCAUGUCCCCCAUCCAAGCCACAUGGGUGGGCAGUGGAGGCACGCAGAUGGGUCUCACGACUGGGACAGUUGGCUUGGUGAAGCCUUGAAAGUACUGAGGCAGCCUCUCUCCUUUUCUCUGAAGGGUUCCUGUUUGACUUUUAGGUUUAUUUCUGUGGUUCUAUCAGACCACUGCCUCCUAAGCAAUGCCUAGGAAACCCUAGACACUAGCAGCCACCUAACCCAGUUUGUGGAUUAGGCCUGGUGCCAAUUUGAAUGUGAGGGCUGAGCAGAUGAACUGUGACUGGG
rnacentral:lncRNA from 1 species